rfam:Triticum aestivum genome assembly, contig: Triticum_aestivum_CS42_TGACv1_scaffold_603656_7DL
GGAGUACUCCCUCCGUCCCAAAAUUCUUGUCUUAGAUUAGUCUACUAGAUACGGAUGUAUCUAAUACUAAAAUGUGACUUGAUACAUCCGUAUUUAGACAAAUCUAAGACAAGAAUUUUGGGACGGAGGGAGUACUUC